AUCCUUCCAGCUCAUAAGUGUGAUGACUGGGUGUUCUUGCUAUUGUGUGAGAUAUGCCUCCCUCUGAACUUUGUUACAUUGUUGGCACAUUACCCAGCUGAUG
rfam:Ictidomys tridecemlineatus contig006863, whole genome shotgun sequence.